GGGACACGUGGUAUCCUGUCUGAAUAUGGGGGGACCAUCCUCCAAGGCUAAAUACUCCUGACUGACCGAUAGUGAACCAGUACCGUGAGGGAAAGGCGAAAAGAACCCCGGCGAGGGGAGUGAAAAAGAACCUGAAACCGUGUACGUACAAGCAGUGGGAGCACCUUCGGGUGUGACUGCGUACCUUUUGUAUAAUGGGUCAGCGACUUAUAUUCUGUAGCAAGGUUAACCGUAUAGGGGAGCCGCAGGGAAACCGAGUCUUAACUGGGCGUUAAGUUGCAGGGUAUAGACCCGAAACCCGGUGAUCUAGCCAUGGGCAGGUUGAAGGUUGGGUAACACUAACUGGAGGACCGAACCGACUAAUGUUGAAAAAUUAGCGGAUGACUUGUGGCUGGGGGUGAAAGGCCAAUCAAACCGGGAGAUAGCUGGUUCUCCCCGAAAGCUAUUUAGGUAGCGCCUCGUGAACUCAUCUUCGGGGGUAGAGCACUGUUUCGGCUAGGGGGUCAUCCCGACUUACCAACCCGAUGCAAACUACGAAUACCGAAGAAUGUUAUCACGGGAGACACACGGCGGGUGCUAACGUCCGUCGUGAAGAGGGAAACAACCCAGACCGCCAGCUAAGGUCCCAAAGUCAUGGUUAAGUGGGAAACGAUGUGGGAAGGCACAGACAGCCAGGAUGUUGGCUUAGAAGCAGCCAUCAUUUAAAGAAAGCGUAAUAGCUCACUGGUCGAGUCGGCCUGCGCGGAAGAUGUAACGGGGCUAAACCAUGC
rnacentral:rRNA from 1 species